GUAGAUAUAGUUUAACACAAGACACUAGAUUGUGGUUCUAGAAAUAAGGGUUAAACCCCCUUUAUCCACC
rnacentral:tRNA from 1 species